UACACUCAUUAGUUCGUUGCCUUCCGCAGGGCCGCAAUCCUAUCUGGUGUUUUUUGUUUUGUCGCAAUUUUGUGCGCUCUGUCGGUGGAAGUAGCUCUACCGCUGGUACAAUGGCCAUUCCUUCCUCGUCAUUGAUAGGGUCGUCUUCCUUCCCCUCCUUCUCGUCCUCCUCUUCCUCCUGCAUUGGCUCCUCGGUGGCGUGGGUUGCUGCCCCCUGUCCAUCGGGUCCUCCGCUAGUCUCGUCUCCCCCGAGGGAAUCCGGCAGCUUCCUGUGCGCCCGUCCCUCGAGAUCCUUCUGUGACUGUGGCUUGAACUUGAGAGGGAAAGGGAAAUGGAAGAGAAUUCCGGCGAUGGCGGACUCGGACAGCCAGGGUGUUGCUCCCUUGCCCAGGGAGCUCGCUGUUCUUCUCGAAAUCGAAGGGGUGCUUGUGGAUUUCUAUCACUCAGGCAAUCGACAAGCCUUUAAUGAAGCUUUUCAGAAACUGGGGUUGGAUUGUGCAAAUUGGACUGAUCCAAUAUAUAUAGACCUUGCAAGAAAGUCUGGAGGUGAUGAUGAAAGAAUGCUGAUCUUAUUUUUCAACAAGAUUGGGUGGCCCACAUCACUACCAACCAAUGAGAAGGAAUCAUUUGUUCGUAAAAUUCUACAAGAGAAGCGGAAUGCAUUGGAUGACUAUGUGAGGACAAAGGAUUUGCCAGUGCGACCUGGAGCUUUAAAUUUUAUUGAGGAGGCACUUGAAAUGGAUAUUCCAGUGAUUCUUCUCACUGCAUACAGUAAGAAUGGAGAAAAAGUUUCCAGGUCUAUCUCUCAGAAGUUGGGUCUGGAAAAGUUAUCCAAGAUAAAGAUUGUUGGGAAGGAUGAGGUUGGAAACAGUUUAUAUGGUCAAGUGGUUCUUGGUAAAGGAGUUGCAUCUAGUUUGGAUGAACAGUUAAUGAAAGAGGCAAGAAAAGCUGCUUCUGCUCAGAAACAAAAAAUUGCAGAGGAGGUUGCAUCCGUGUUGAAAUUGAGUGUAGAGAUUGAUACAACCUCAGCUGAAAUUUUAGAAAAUAUCGUAGCAACACUACGUGCUGGAGCAGAAAGUGCAGGCCUGCCUGUAGACCAGUGUGUUCUGGUGGCAGGAAGCCUAUCUGGAGCACUUGCAGCUGAGCGCAUAGGCAUGCCCUGUGUGCUGCUUCGAAGCAGAGUUACUUCUAGAGCUGAGUUCCCUACAACAGCAACUGUAAUGGAAGGCUUUGGUGGUUCAGACCUUACAGUUUUUAAAUUACAGAACAAGAAAUGGAGUUCGAGCUUUUGAUAAUUAUAUUCCUGGAAGGCCUUAGCUAUUAUGCUUUUUUGUAGCUGAUUGUUUCAUGAAGUGUGGGAGAAACCUGCUCACAAGCUAGGGAAGUUACAGAGGCAAGCAGUAUAUAGGAGGAUGGUCGGAGAAUGGGACCGGGGAGGAUUUCCAGCUCAGUUUCGAAAGAAUCACCUUCUCCAAGCCACUGUGUGGUGAUUGUCAGCCAGCCACAACUGGCAGGGUCGGGGAUUCCUACUCAAAUUCGACUGGACCAAGACCUGGUUGAGGCCCAACCAGCGGAGAGUUACUCUUUGGGUCGGGUUUAUGUUGUGAAAACCAAGAAUGGGCCGAACUGAGACAUCUCAAUGUUUAAGUUGCAUUUUUUGUAACGGAGAGCCUCUCUGGUUCAAUUAUAACAAGUGGUUGUCUCCCUGCUUGUCCAACAGCAGGGACGAAAAAGAAAGAGGAAAUGAGAAGACGAGCUGUAUAAUGAUCUUACCAUACAAUGUGAAGCCACCGUCUUGGAUAACA